UACGGAGAGAACGCGACCUGGAGAUACCGGGGGCGUUGUCUGGGGCACGAUUGCGUAGGGGCAAAGGUCGAGUACCCGCACUGCCGCCAUUUUUUAUGAGGGCAUAUUCCAUUUCUGAUUAUACACCCGCUGCCAUUGGCACCGUUAGUUUCCAUGCUCUCUAGUGCGCCCUCAGGGGCCCUAGUGACCUUCUUCCUUCCCUUGGGCCUGGCUGGGUAGGCUUUCUCGGACGCAGGAGGUUCCGUAGGCCCAGGCCAGGCCAAGGGGAGGCAGCCGAGCCGUAGUCGGGGUUGACAGUCACCAUGGCGCCGCCUCUGGCCCCGCUCCCUCCCCGGGACCCAAACAGGGUCGGACCCGAGUGGAGGGAGCCGGGGGUUGUGAGCUUCGCGGACGUGGCCGUGUACUUCUGCCGGGAGGAGUGGGGCUGCUUGCGACCAGCACAGAGGGCCCUGUACCGGGACGUGAUGCGGGAGACCUACGGCCACCUGAGCGCGCUCGGAAUCGGAGGCAACAAGCCAGCUCUCAUCUCCUGGGUGGAGGAGGAGGCCGAACUGUGGGGCCCAGCUGCCCGGGAUCCGGAGGUGACCAAGUGUCCGACAGAAGCGGACCCAGCAGAUUCCAGAAACAAGGAAGAGGAAAGACAAAGGGAAGGGAUGGGAGCCCUGGAGAAGCCUGUCCCUGUGGCCACCGGGUCUCCUGGACUGAAGGCUCCCCAAGACCCCUCGGCCGGGCCCCCUUAUGUUUGGGAGCAGCCGUCCAAGGCACCGCACCGAGGACGCCCCUCACUCUGUGCCCACCCCCCUGUCCCCCGAGCGGACCAGCGUCACGGCUGCUACGUGUGCGGGAAGAGCUUCGCCUGGCGCUCCACACUGGUGGAGCACGUCUACAGCCACACUGGCGAGAAACCCUUCCACUGCACUGACUGCGGCAAGGGUUUCGGCCACGCUUCCUCCCUGAGCAAACACCGGGCCAUCCAUCGCGGGGAGCGGCCUCACCGCUGUCCCGAGUGUGGCCGGGCCUUCACGCAGCGCUCAGCACUGACUUCGCACCUGCGCGUCCACACCGGCGAGAAGCCCUAUGGCUGCGCCGACUGUGGCCGCCGCUUCAGCCAGAGCUCUGCCCUCUACCAGCACCGGCGUGUGCACAGCGGCGAGACCCCCUUCCCCUGCCCGGACUGUGGCCGCGCCUUCGCCUACCCCUCGGACCUACGGCGCCACGUGCGCACCCACACCGGCGAGAAGCCCUACCCGUGCCCGGACUGCGGACGCUGCUUCCGCCAGAGCUCAGAGAUGGCAGCCCACAGGCGCACCCACAGCGGCGAGAAGCCCUACCCCUGCCCGCAGUGUGGCCGCUGCUUCGGCCAGAAAUCAGCCGUGGCCAAGCACCAGUGGGUUCAUAGGCCCGGGGCCAGGGGCCACAAGGGCCGGGUCACCGGGGGUCUGCCUGUGACCCUGACCCCUGGCCCUGGAGAUCUGGAACCGCCCGUGGGCUUCCAGCUGUACCCGGAGAUAUUCCAGGAGUGUGGGUGACGGCCUUAAAAGUGACUAGACAUUACAGAGGCCCGAGAUGGGCUCAGGGGCCCGAACCUCUGCGGCGGCCUGCAGGGAGGUCCCAGAAUCUACAAGACCCGGCCCUGGGGUGCGGACAGCCUGAUCUUGGACCCUCAGCAGCCUCCUCUGCCAGCACCUUGCUCUCAACUGCCCAGGGGUCUCGAAGGCCACCUUUACUGAGGCAGGGCUGAGUGCUGCUGGGUUAGGGUCUCCCCAACCGAGCUGGUCUCGGCAAGUGCCAUCCAUCGUUGGGGCUCGAAUCCAGGUCGAAGGGUUGCCGGAGCAACAGUUGGAACAGAAAACCAGCUGGAGGACACCCGAGUACUCUUAAAGCAAUCCCCCUGGUGAGUAAGAAGGGGAUCUUGGAAGCAUCAGGGUAACAAUGGGACAGGUAUGGGGUCUGGUUCAUUUCACCUUGGAGCUUUUUCACACUGAUAAUGAGGAGGAACCAGUAGAGCGAAGUAACACAAGAGGUUACAGAGCAUGUUUAUUUACCAGCUAAAGCUAAAGUGGCAAAGGAAGGAGAGGUUCAUCCCUACCCUUCUGCACCCUCCAGAUCUUUCUUAUUAUUUUGAAGAAAAUGACCCUCCAGAUCUUUCUUUUCUGGAGUACACUGGGCGAAAAGUAGUUGCCCCAGUGACUGUUCGAGCAGUGCCUCAAGCGACCGCUCUUAGUUCUAUUCAGGCAGGAAUUCAGCAAGCUAGACUAGAGGGUGAUUUGGAGGCUUGGCAGUUCCCUGUUAGAAUAUACCCCCCAGGUCAACAGGGAAAUAUAGCUACAUUUGAGCCUUUUCCUUUUAAAUUCGGGAAAGCACAUUUAGUUGAUUAUAUCAAGGCCUGUGAUGGUAUUGGAGGUAAUCUGCAUAAAGCUACUUUGUUGGCACAGGUAAUGGCAGGACUGAGAGUGGAUAAAGGAAAUAUUCCAUUUCCAGGAGCUUGUUUUAACUGUGGGAAGCAUGGUCAUACUAAAAAAGAAUGUAGAAAAAAUCAGCGAGUCAGGCUGCCAGAUAGGGGAAAAAAGAAAACUGUUGAGCGUGAAAUAUGUCCAAAAUGUAAAAAAGGAAAACAUUGGGCUAGUCAGCAUCACUCUUAAGUUUGAUAAAGAAGGGGACCUGAUUUCGGGAGACGCCGUGAGGGGCCCGUCCCGGGCCCCAUUCUAAACCGGGGCAUUUCCAGCUCAGGCCAUUCCCUUACCCCUGUACAAUGUCUGUCCCCCACCACAGCCAGUAGUGCCACAGUAGAUUUAUGGUGCACAAAAGCUGUGAGCUUUCUUCCUGGGGAACCCCUGCAAAAGGUCCCAACAGGAGUCUGUGGACCCUUGCCAGCAGAGACCAGACUUUUGGGAAGGUCUAGUGUAAAUUUAAAAGGGGUACAAAUACAUACAGGAGUCAUUGGUUCAGAUUACAAUGGGGAAAUUCAAAUUGUUACACCUACUUCUGUUCCCUGGAAAGCAGAGCCAGGAGAGCGCAUAGCACAGCCCCUGAUUGUGCCAUAUGUGGGAAUUGGGAAAAGUGAAAUUAAAUGAACAGGAGGAUUUGGAAGCACAAAUAAACAAGGCAAAGCAGCUUAUUGGGUGAAUCAAAUUACUGAUAAACGUCCUACCUGUGAAAUAACUAUUCAAGGAAAGAAAUUUAAAAGUUUGGUAGAUACAGGAAUGGACAUUUCAAUCAUUUCUCUACAGCACUGACCAUCCACAUGGCCAAUUCAACCUGCUCAAUUUAACAUAGCUGGAGUUGGUAAAGCCGCUGAAGUAUAUCAAAGUAGUUAUAUUUUGCAUUGUGAAGGGCCUGAUAGACAACCUGGGACUAUUCAACCAAUUAUAACUUCUGUACCUAUAAAUUUAUGGGGAAGACAUUUAUUAUAACAAUCGGGAGCACAAGUUCUAAUUCCAGAGCAUUUAUAUAACCCUCAAAGUCAACAUACAAUGCAUGAAAUGGAGUAUGUCCCUGGUAUGGGACUAGAAAAAAAUUUGCAAGGUUUGAAAGAACCAAUUCAAGCAGGCAAACAAAGUUCCCGCCAAAGAUUAGGAAAUAGUUUUUGAUGGCAGCCAUUGUUAAGCCUCCAGAACCUAUACCUUUAAAAUGGUUAACAGAUAAGCCAAUUUGGAUAGAACAAUGGCCA